CAGGCCUAAUACAUGCAAGUCGAACGAGAUAUCGGACUUCGGUCUGAUUGAAGUGGCGCACGGGUGCGUAACACGUAUGCAACCUACCUUUUACAGGGGAAUAGCCCGAAGAAAUUCGGAUUAAUACCCCAUAACAUCAUGAAUUCGCAUGUUUUUAUGAUUAAAGCUCCGGCGGUAAAAGAUGGGCAUGCGGGACAUUAGUUUGUUGGUGAGGUAACGGCUCACCAAGACUACGAUGUCUAGGGGUUCUGAGAGGAUGAUCCCCCACACUGGUACUGAGACACGGACCAGACUCCUACGGGAGGCAGCAGUAGGGAAUAUUGGGCAAUGGACGAAAGUCUGACCCAGCCAUGCCGCGUGCAGGAUGACUGCCCUAUGGGUUGUAAACUGCUUUUAUACGAGAAGAAACCCUUGUACGUGUACGAGGCUGACGGUAUCGUAUGAAUAAGGAUCGGCUAACUCCGUGCCAGCAGCCGCGGUAA
rnacentral:rRNA from 1 species